GACGAAGGAUGCAAGCGUUAUCCGGAUUCAUUGGGUUUAAAGGGAGCGUAGGCGGAUUGGUAAGUCAGUGGUGAAAUCUGUGGGCUUAACCCACAAACUGCCAUUGAUACUGCUGAUCUAGAGUACAGUUGCCGUUGGCGGAAUAUGACAUGUAGUGGUGAAAUACUUAGAUAUGUCAUAGAACACCGAUUGCGAAGGCAGCUAACGAAGCUGUAACUGACGCUGAGGCUCGAAAGUGCGGGGAUCAAUCAGG
rnacentral:rRNA from 1 species